rnacentral:rRNA from 1 species
GACGAACGCUGGCGGCGUGCUUAACACAUGCAAGUCGAACGGAGAAGCGCCUUCUUUUUUGGUGGGUGUGGAUGAGUGGGGAAGGGGUGAGUAACAAGUGAGUAACCUGCCGCGUUCUACUGGAUAACAGCAUGAAAGUGUGGCCAAUACGGGAUAUUCUGGGUCUGUCGGAUGAUGGGUCUGGGAAAGAUCUUGUUUCGGUGGGGGAUGGUCGCGCGGUCUAUCAGGUUGGUGGUGGGGAGAUGGCCUACCAAGGCGGUGACGGGUAGCCGGCCUGGGAGGGUGGACGAUCACGGUGGUGAGGCGCGGCGGCCACGCCUCCGAGGGGAGGCAGCAGGGAAUAAUAGAGCACGAUGGAAGGAAGGCUGAUGCAGCGACGCGGCGUGAGGGAUGGAGUCCUGCGGGUUGUGAACCUCAUGCGGGAGGGAAGCAGACCUGCCUCGUUUGUGGGUGGGUUGACGGUAGCUGGAGAAGAAGCGCCGGCUAACUACGUG